UACUGGCAAAGACAUUGAAAAGAAUCACACUGCUAAACCAGUAGCAGCUUUUAUCUUCUUCUCAGAUUGUAUACAUGCAGGAUAAAAGUGUUUCUAACACAUAGACUUCUAUAUUCCAGCAUAAAGAUGUAUUAGGCGCAUUUAUACUUUUACAUCGAAGCCUGUUUCAACAUGAACGGAGCCCAGGGAAGUUGGUGACUUAAUCCUCGUUAUACCCUGAUUUUGGACAAAUUUUACAAGAAGAAUAGGACUUCUACUUCUCUAUGUCUACAUGCACCUGGAACAGUGCUAGGUCUAUGCUUACAAAUUGAUUGGUUCAGGUCACCGCCAUGAGCCUCAGGACAGAAAAUUGCCGGAUAUGAGAGAGAGAGAGAGAUUUGACUGGGCUAAGAAAGAAAUGAACACGAUUUAGAGAUGGAAAUGGUGACAUAUGGGCCUUUGAAGCCUCCCAUGUUCCAGAGAAGCCCCUGUGAGCUGUGACUGCAAGAGUCAGCACCUAAAUUAGAUCAACACUACAACAUCAAAAAGCCAGCUUGAUGGCACAGCGGGGAGUGAGGAAGACUCGGUGGACAAAUCUGACUGGAAAACAAGUAGGCGUUGCAGAUGGUGAGUUCAGCACUGCCUCUGCUGUAGUGAGCUACGCCCAACCUAGAAAUGCAUCUUGCUGGCAAUGUCUCUCCAAGAGCCUCCCCUUUUGCUGUCAGGAGCACAAGGGGCAUGCAGAGAAGUUGAGAGCUGAGCAUUGCAUGCUACUGAGCAGCUGCACUCAGUGGUGCAGAGGAGGGACAGGAGGCACCCAUAAGGGAGGAAAUGAAUAGGGCUGUUUUACUUGCUAAAAAGACUCACCUUUUGUCUCCUCCUGAGCUGACAUCCUUUUCUUGCUACUCCACCAUUAUAUUCUCUUUAAACAGUCAUUUUUAUUACAGUUAAUAUUAGAGUUGUACUUGCAUUUAUGAGGUCUAAAGAGCUCUUGGGAAAUAAAACGGGACUAUCCAGUCUGGAAGAA
ensembl:lncRNA LINC01911 long intergenic non-protein coding RNA 1911